AUGUCCGUCAAGGCGUGCUUCGGCAACGUCGCCAACGCGCUCGUCGACUGGGACGGCGGCCGCGACCACUGCCCCUGGCGGGGGUCGUCGCCUGCGACACCAACUCCUUGGCCUGGAGGGGUCUUCAGGAUGCUCCGCAGCUGCACAAGCCGACGGGCUGUUUCUAUUCUUUGGUUCCUUCCUCGCUCGCUGGUUGCUGAUAGCAGCCUGGUCUUCCUCCUCGGAGGAGAUGUUUUUCGAUUGGUGGCAUUAUGCGGCAGGCUUCGCUCGCUUUUCUACACCACGUUUGAUGUUGGAAGCUCAAAGGAAGCAAGACUUCAACAAAAAUCUCUGAAUGCAUUCCAAGCUUCUGUACGGCGUACGUCGUUUCAAAGGGCAAACUGUCAUUCGUGCACUCUUACACCUGAUGCCUGUGAAACACCCAAGACCAUAUCUUCUUCAACCGUUUCUUCUCCUAGCUCUGGAAGCCUUUCCAGUGCGCCCUCAAACAAAUUCACAACCAGUCACACAGUAGCGCAACUCAGUAGCAGCAGCAGUGGGGAUUCAGUUUACAGGAGCUUCCGGGGAGAUAGCUUCCGAGAUAUCUCUGAUCUGCAGGCAGCAGUUUCAGAAACUGCAAGAGACCUUAGGCAUUCUCAUGCCCAGGAUGAGCUGAAGCUUCAAAUUGAGAGUAUGAAGGUCAAACUGCGACAUGUAUUCUACAGUUGUGGCUAUGGACAACUUUUGGCCAGUCCGGUGUAUUCUACAAUUGAGGCAAUGGAGCACUUUUGA
rnacentral:rRNA from 1 species